AUUGAACGCUGGCGGCAGGCUUAACACAUGCAAGUCGAGCGGAGAUGAGGUGCUUGCACCUUAUCUUAGCGGCGGACGGGUGAGUAAUGCUUAGGAAUCUGCCUAUUAGUGGGGGACAACAUUCCGAAAGGAAUGCUAAUACCGCAUACGCCCUACGGGGGAAAGCAGGGGAUCUUCGGACCUUCCGCUAAUAGAUGAGCCUAAGUCGGAUUAGCUAGUUGGCGGGGUAAAGGCCUACCAAGGCGACGAUCUGUAGCGGGUCUGAGAGGAUGAUCCGCCACACCGGGACUGAGACACGGCCCAGACUCCUACGGGAGGCAGCAGUGGGGAAUAUUGGACAAUGGGCGGAAGCCUGAUCCAGCCAUGCCGCGUGUGUGAAGAAGGCCUUUUGGUUGUAAAGCACUUUAAGCGAGGAGGAGGCUACCUGGAUUAAUACUCUAGGAUAGUGGACGUUACUCGCAGAAUAAGCACCGGCUAACUCUGUGCCAGCCGCCGCUGUAAUAC
rnacentral:rRNA from 1 species